rnacentral:rRNA from 1 species
UACGAGGGGGGCGAGCGUUGUUCGGAAUUAUUGGGCGUAAAGGGUGCGUAGGCGGCUAAGUAAGUCGGGCGUGAAAUCCCACGGCUCAACCGUGGAAGUGCACUCGAAACUGCAUAGCUAGAGUCCUGGAGAGGAAGGUGGAAUGCUUGGUGUAGAGGUGAAAUUCGUAGAUAUCAGGAGGAACACCGGUGGUGUAAACGGCUUUCUGGACCAUUUCUGACGCUGAGGCACGAAAGCGUGGGUAGCAAACAGG